rnacentral:tRNA from 1 species
AUUACUUUAAUAUAUUAGUAUAUUAAAUUUAGAAUUUAAAUAAAUGAUUAUUUUAAUCAUAAGUAAUA